GACGAACGCUGGCGGCGUGCUUAACACAUGCAAGUCGAACGCUGAAGCUCAGCUUUUGUUGGGUGGAUGAGUGGCGAACGGGUGAGUAACACGUGAGUAACCUGCCCCCUUCUUUGGGGUAACGCCCGGAAACGGGUGCUAAUACUGGAUAUUCACUGGUCUUCGCAUGGGGGUUGGUGGAAAGGGUUUUUCUGGUGGGGGAUGGGCUCGCGGCCUAUCAGCUUGUUGGUGGGGUGAUGGCCUACCAAGGCUUUGACGGGUAGCCGGCCUGAGAGGGUGACCGGUCACAUUGGGACUGAGAUACGGCCCAGACUCCUACGGGAGGCAGCAGUGGGGAAUAUUGCACAGUGGGCGCAAGCCUGAUGCAGCGACGCCGCGUGAGGGAUGGAGGCCUUCGGGUUGUGAACCUCUUUCGCUCAUGGUCAAGCCGCAACAAUGGUUGUGGUGAGGGUAGUGGGUAAAGAAGCGCCGGCUAACUACGUG
rnacentral:rRNA from 1 species